AGAGUGAACGCUGGCGGCAGGCCUAAUACAUGCAAGUCGAACGGCAGCACAGCAGAGCUUGCUCUGUGGGUGGCGAGUGGCGGACGGGUGAGGAAUACAUGGGAAUCUGCCCAGUCGUGGGGGAUAACGUAGGGAAACUUACGCUAAUACCGCAUGCGCCCUUCGGGGGGAAAGCCGGGGACCUUCGGGCCUGGCGCGAUUGGAUGAGCCCAUGUCGGAUUAGCUAGUUGGCGGGUAAAGCCACAAGGCGAUGAUCCGUAGCUGGUCUGAGAGGAUGAUCAGCCACACUGGAACUGAGACACGGUCCAAGACUCCGUAGGGAGGCAGCAGGUAGGGAAUAGUUGGAACAAGUGGGACGCAAGCCUGACUCCAGCCAUGCCGCGUGUGUGAAAGAGGUCCGUUAGGUU
rnacentral:rRNA from 1 species